rnacentral:rRNA from 1 species
GAUGAACGCUGGCGGCGUGCCUAAUACAUGCAAGUCGAGCGAACAGACGAGGAGCUUGCUCCUCUGACGUUAGCGGCGGACGGGUGAGUAAAACGUGGAUAACCUACCUAUAAGACUGGGAUAACUUCGGGAAACCGGAGCUAAUACCGGAUAAUUUAUUUAAACGCAUUGGUCAAUAAUGGAAAGAGGGUUUUCUGUCAAUUAUUGGUUGAACCGGGCCGCAUUAGCUAGUUGGUAAGGUAACGGCUUACCAAGGCGACGAUGCGUAGCCGACCUGAGAGGGUGAUCGGCCACACUGGAACUGAGACACGGUCCAGACUCCUACGGGAGGCAGCAGUAGGGAAUCUUCCGCAAUGGGCGAAAGCCUGACGGAGCAACGCCGCGUGAGUGAUGAAGGUCUUCGGAUCGUAAAACUCUGUUAUUAGGGAAGAACAAAUGUGUAAGUAACUAUGCACGUCUUGACGGUACCUAAUCAGAAAGCCACGGCUAACUACGUG